GGACUACAGGGGUAUCUAAUCCCGUUUGCUACCCUGGCUUUCGUGCCUCAGCGUCAGAUAAGAUCCAGUGAGCCGCUUUCGCCACCGGUGUUCCUUAGGAUAUCAACGCAUUUCACCGCUCCACCCUAAGUUCCGCUCACCUCUAUCUUCCUCGAGCACGGUAGUUUUGGGCGCAAUUCCUCGGUUAAGCCGAGGUAUUUCACACCCAACUUUCCGCACAGCCUACGCACCCUUUAAGCCCAGUGAUUCCGAACAACGUUUGUGUGGUUCGUCUUACCGCGGCUGCUGGAC
rnacentral:rRNA from 3 species